UACGUAGGUGGCGAGCGUUGUCCGGAUUUACUGGGCGUAAAGAGCGCGCAGGCGGUCGUGCAAGUCGCGUGUGAAAGCCCCCGGCUCAACUGGGGAGGGUCACGCGAUACUGCUCGACUCGAAGGCAGGAGAGGGAAGUGGAAUUCCCGGUGUAGAGGUGAAAUUCGUAGAUAUCGGGAGGAGCACCAGUGGCGAAGGCGGCGAUCUGGGAAGAUACUGACGCUGAGGUGCGAAAGCGUGGGGAGCAAACAGG
rnacentral:rRNA from 1 species